rnacentral:rRNA from 1 species
AUACGGAGGGUGCAAGCGUUGUUCGGAAUUACUGGGCGUAAAGCGCGCGUAGGCGGUCUGUUAUGUCAGAUGUGAAAGUCCUCGGCUCAACCGGGGAAGUGCAUUUGAAACUGGCAGACUUGAGUACUGGAGGGGGUGGUGGAAUUCCCGGUGUGGAGGUGAAAUUCGUAGAUAUCGGGAGGAAUACCGGUGGCGAAGGCGACCACCUGGCCAGAUACUGACGCUGAGGUGCGAAAGCGUGGGGAGCAAACAGGAUUAGAUACCCUAGUAGUCC